GUCCUGCGGGGCGGGGAGUCGGGCGAUUCCAGAGCUAGGCCACCCCAGGGUCCUUGACAGGACCUUGGGGCCCCGCUUCCUCCUACUGUCAGGUCUCUGAAGGUUUCGUCCCUGUCCAUCAACAGGCCCCGCCCCUCUCAAGGCCCCACCUCUCCCCAGGUCCCACCCCUUAUCCGGGUCCCACCUCUCUAUGGACCUGCCCCUGCCAUAGACCGCACCCCCGUCCCAGGACCGCCUCUCCCCAGGCACCGGCCGCACCUCUACAAGGCCCCUCCCCUGCAGACCCAGCCCCCUCUACAGGUCCGGCUCUCUGGGGCCCCACCCCCGUCCCAGGCCCGCCCCCACCUGCUCCACACCGCACAGCUUCUCCACCGAACCCUUGAAGUGCUUCAUGCAGUCGUCGGCUAAAUGCAGGUGUGUAGAAUACUGCGGGGCGGGAGUUGGGGUAACAGACUGAGUCCAAGCCAAGAGCCUGGCGCAGUGGUGUGGGGCGGGGCGGGGGGGGCGGUGCCAGGUUCCCCGCCCAUGCUCACCUUGUUCAGCUCCUUCUGGUACUGAGGCAUCUUUUUCAGGAUGUGGGACAGGUCUUUGAUGUUGGCCUGGGGACAGGGAGGCCGUGAGGCCCAGCCCUGCCCACCCCAGCUCCGGACUCCAGGCUCUGCAACCGGACUGUGGCCCUGCCCCCGCUCUAUGGGGGCAGGGGCCUCUCCUGGCCAGCUGCCCCUCCUGACGCAGGCCUGCCCCUACCUUGUCAGUGGUCAGCCUCUUGCUCUCACAGAACGUCUUCAGAAGCUCCGUGACCCUCCUGGCGGUGAAGAGUGGGCAGGGGUGGGGUUGGGAACUGGUGCCAAGGUUUGACUGCAGUGGGGGGGGAAGGGGUCACAGAGCCCGGGGGUGGGAGCCAGGGGACACACGAGUCCCUGUACCAGGCCAUGGGCAAGCCCGCACCGAGGAGCCUGGGUGAGGGGUGUGGCUUGUACUGGGGUGCUCACCCAGAGCCAAAGACCACCUACAUGGCCCACAGCAGGGGGAGAGGACAGACUGGGGAUGCAUGGGGACCACCUGCGGAGCGGUCCACUCCCUGGCACCCGGCGCGCGCACGCACUUGGACACGUCGGCGAUGUGCAAGUGCCGCAGCUCCACCCACAGGUCAUCGUCCUCGUCCAGCAGCACAGCCUUCUCACGGGCCUCGCUCAGCCCCGUGGUCUCGUACCUGCGGGAGACGGAGGGUCAAGGCAACCAGCCGACAACCAGGGACCCAGGAGCUGAUUGGGGGGGGUGUGUCUGUUUCUGCGGGAACCCAGGACGUUUGGUCACGGACCACCCCCCACCCUGGACUAGCCUGGGCUGUACCUGGGCCUCGUAGGGGAGGAAGGCCAGGUGGAUCUCUUUCAGCGUCUUCACCACCUUGGCUAGACGGGAGCGGCCCAGCUCACUGAACAGGGGCUCGGGGCAGGCUGGGGUGGGCAAGAGGGGGCAUCAGGCCAGAGUGACCCCACGCCCCGACCCCCCCAUCCCCCCAGCUCGCUUCACUCACUGUCGGUGAAGAAGACAUGUGCUGCUUUGUAGGUGAAGGUCGGAGUCCCCCGGAAGUCUGCUAUCAGGGCCUGCACUGACUGAGGGAGGCACGCCAUUGUCCAAGCCUGGCCCUGCACCUCCAGAGCCCUGCCCCAGCCUCCCAGCCCCUGUCUGCCCCCCCAAACAUGUGCACACAUGCAGAGGCAUGCAUACACACGUAGACACACACACACAAAUUCACGCAGGCACCUUCUCCGUGGGGCUGAGCAAAUAAAUGGCCUCCAAACUGGGGAUGGGUUCUCGUCGUUUGUUGAUGUCUUCAACAA